CUUCCCCGCUGAACAUGGGCGUUGACAGGUGGAUCCAUACUCCCAGCCUGCCUCUCUCUUUCCCUAGUGGGGCAGGGCUCUGGGGAGGCGGGGCUCCAGGACACAUCCAGGCUUAGCCUAAUACUCUUUGAUCUCUAUUUCCUGGGAUCCCCACUCUCCAGUGCCCUCUUAGGUCUUUCAUUCUUGGCCUCCCCGUGUCACAUCAUCAGCGUGCCACUUGUCGCUCUCACAGAGUCUGGGAUUGGAAAAAGUAACACCUGUGUCUUCCAAGGAAGCAUCCGAUUAUCUGGUGACUGUUAUCCCGCUUGGAUUUUGCACUCAGUAGCCCGCCUGCCUUUCUCCCUUCCUCUCAUCCUCUCUCUCCCCACUGCCUCCCUUCCUUCCUCCUCCCCUCCCUUCAUUAGCAUAAUUGGCCUUGGCAUCUGCUAUAGCAUAAUUAUUAUAUAUGUUUCCUCUCCUUUCCCUGACGCGCCCUCUCUAUGGAUCCUGUAGCAAGGAAUUUUUUAGGGUAGGAAACUUGGCAGUCGAUAUUGGCUCCUGUGGCAGGAUUUAAUCUGGAUAAAACGCCCUUAGGAAGGAGGCUGGCAAACUCACCCCCUAAAAACAUCAAGCAAACAAGACUUUGCAGACUGAAUGCAGAAGGGUCCUGUCCAUAGUGGCCCUGGCCUGCCCAGCUGUUCACAUCCACUCAUGGUUACACAAGUUUUUCAUUUUCUU